UAGGGAAUCUUCGGCAAUGGACGGAAGUCUGACCGAGCAACGCCGCGUGAGUGAAGAAGGUUUUCGGAUCGUAAAGCUCUGUUGUUAGAGAAGAACGUUGGUAGGAGAGGAAAAUCUACCAAGUGACGGUAACUAACCAGAAAGGGACGGCUAACUACGUGCCAGCAGCCGCGGCAAUACGUAGGUCCCGAGCGUUGUCCGGAUGUAUUGGGCGUAAAGCGAGCGCAGGCGGUUCUUUAAGUCUGAAGUUAAAGGCAGCGGCUUAACCAUUGUACGCUUUGGAAACUGGAGGACUUGAGUGCAGAAGGGGAGAGUGGAAUUCCAGGUGUAGCGGUGAAAUGCGUAGAUAUAUGGAGGAACACCGGUGGCGAAAGCGGCUCUCUGGUCUGUAACUGACGCUGAGGCUCGAAAGCGUGGGGAGCAAACAGG
rnacentral:rRNA from 1 species